rnacentral:rRNA from 1 species
UACGUAGGGUGCAAGCGUUGUCCGGAAUUAUUGGGCGUAAAGAGCUCGUAGGCGGUUUUGUCGCGUCUGCUGUGAAAUCCCGAGGCUCAACCUCGGGCCUGCAGUGGGUACGGGCAAACUAGAGUGCGGUAGGGGAGAUUGGAAUUCCUGGUGUAGCGGUGGAAUGCGCAGAUAUCAGGAGGAACACCGAUGGCGAAGGCAGAUCUCUGGGCCGUAACUGACGCUGAGGAGCGAAAGCGUGGGGAGCGAACAGG